rnacentral:tRNA from 1 species
GCUGCGGUAGCUCAGUGGUAGAGCACUCCCUUGGUAAGGGAGAGGCCGGGAGUUCAAUCCUCCCUCGCAGCACCA